UACAGAGGUCUCAAGCGUUGUUCGGAUUCAUUGGGCGUAACGGGUGUGUAGGUGGCGCGUUAAGUCGGGUGUGAAAUUUCGGAGCUUAACUCCGAAACUGCAUUCGAUACUGGCGUGCUUGAGGACUGGAGAGGAGACUGGAAUUCAUGGUGUAGCAGUGAAAUGCGUAGAGAUCAUGAGGAAGACCAGUGGCGAAGGCGGGUCUCUGGACAGUUCCUGACGCUGAGGCACGAAGGCCAGGGGAGCAAACGGG
rnacentral:rRNA from 1 species